CGGGAAGCGGCUGACAGAAGACUGUCGCUGUCACUGCUGGUGCACUGGGUUUAGCCAGCCUGGCCCCCGAGCCCUGGCGGGUGGAGCCUCGAGCUCGAGCUCGGUCCCCUGGGGUCUGAGGCCCACAUUCCUCCGAGGUCUGCAAAGGCCUCCGCGUAGAGGCGCAGAGGAGCAGCUGGGAACGAGAACAAAGCGGCCAGGCCCCCCUCGGAGGAAGGAAGGAGUGAGCCCCAGGAAACAGCUGAUAACGCUAAGCUCAGCUUGUUUUUUUCCUCUGCUCAACAGUUCUCCUGCCACGGCAAACAAAAGAUGUACAUUCUGAUUCCCUCUUCUGUUUGGAUUGUGCUGUCGACUGGGUCUGGUUUGUGAUGAGCUGGGGGAAGAGGCAGCCGCGGGCGGUUUCUGGCCCCGCUGGCUGGCCAGUGCGCUGGGAAUGGCAGAGCUGCCUCUCCCUAAGCCGGUCCGGCGUCACCAGGGGCCCCGGCAUGGGCAUUUCUUUUAAUGAUGGAAUUUGAAGUUCCAAGUUUUCAGAUUUAGUAAGAGCUGAAGGUUUACCUGUGACCCUGACCUUAAAGGACCUGUGCACCUGCACUGGACGCACCUUUUUCGUGGACUGUAAAAUUGUCAAGGCUGGGACCAAUGGCUACAUGGCUCCUGAAAUCCCCAUGCAGAAGGUGGCUAUUCCUACCCUGCGGACUGGUUUGCGAUGGGAUGCAGCAUUUAUGAGAUGGUGCUGGACGGACACCAUUCAGAGAUUACAAGGAAAAGGUCAGUAGAGAGGAUCUAAAGCACAGACCUCUGAAAGAGGAGGCCAUGUUCCAACGUGAGAGCUUCACAGAGGACGCGAAAGACAUCUGCAGACUCUUCUUAGAAAAGAAAGCACAGCAACGCUUAGGAAGCAGAAAAGACUCUGACGAUCCCAGGAAACACCCUUUCUUCAAAACCAUCAACUUUCCCCGACUGGAAGCUGGCCUAGUUGAGCCUCCAUUUGUACCAGACCCUUCUGUGGUUUACACCAAAGAUAUUGAUGAAAUCGAUGAUUUCUCUGAGGGGCGGGGGGUGGAAUUGGAUGACACAGAUGAGAAGUUCUUCAGCAGAUUUGCAACAGGUGCUGUCCCCAACGCGUGGCAGGAAGAAAUCCUAGAGUCAGGGCUGUUUGAGGAACUGAAUGAUCCCAACCAGCCAGCAGGUUACGGGAAGGGUAAUUCAUCUAAGUCUGGAGUGUGCUUGUUAUUGUGAAUGGUCCCCCUACCAGCCCAAGUCUCAGCUGACGUGGUCGGCAAAUGUUUCCAGCAGUGCUGAAGGAAGCUGUGAAUUUAGAGGAGACAUCUCAGCCACAGAACAGCCACAAGGGCGGGUGGGAGGCCUGGUCACUAACGCGUUUUCUUUUUAUUUUCUUUCUUCCUUUAUUUUUCCCUCAUAAAAUUUAGUAAAGUCUCAGUUUUCAGCAAGGGCUGGGAAAAGGAACAGGCAGGUUUAUUUUGAUAAACUGAAAGCAUGAGCCCUCCACCAUCGUGUCUCGGAAUUACACAAAGUCCUAGGAAAGGAGGGUGGAACUCGGUGGUGUACCUGGAAAGUGAGCGUUUGCAGCUCUUAGUAAAUAAUCAUUUUAGUUUAGUUUUUCAUCUUUGUAUUUUUCUUCUCUUCGUCUUUCAGUAUUUCUUCUCUUUCUGUACUUACAGAAGGAUUUUGAAGCUAGAAAUUCCCGAUGUUCCCCCCUUAAAAGGAGUGGUUUGUAAUACUUUGGUAAUAUUUCAGAUUACAGAGUAAUUUUCAGUUUCACUGACAGUUUCUUUUUCAUUUUGGGGAGGGAAAUAAUGUAUCAUCAUAUUGCUGAAACUUUUUUUUUUUGGCAAUACUGGGGACUGAACCUAGGGUCUUUGCACAGGGGAAUAGCCCCAGCCCUUUUGUAUUUUUUAUUUUGAAAUAGGGCCUCACUAAGUCACUAAAUUGUCCUGACUGGGCUUUAACUUGCAAUCCUCCUGCCAGCCUCCCAGAAGGCUGGGAUUAUAGGUGUGCACCACCACACCCAGCUGUUGAAGCAUUAUAAAUACAAAUAUACAUGAAAUCUAUGAUUAUAGUAGAGUAUUCUAUAAAUUUGGUUGGGUAUUUUAAGUAAUAUGCUAUAAAUUGCUUAUAUGUGCAAUUACAUCUGCCAUCUGCCAUCAGAUCCUAAAUGCUGCUGAAAUUUGGGAUCACUUAGGGAUCUUUCAGUAAAUAGGGAAGGAAGGAGGAGGUGAAGGGAGGGCGGGGGUGCAGGGGAAAAAUGAGAAUCAAGACCUGUCAUGUAGAGGUAAAAGAUCCCAAUGAUGAAUGUAACGGUACUGUAUACCUAAAAUGUACCGGUAAACUCAAUGAGGGAAUAAAUUUUUUUAAAAAAAAAGAAGAAGCAGAGCUUGAGAUGUCAAAGGAAAAAAAAAGUACUAAUGGCUGGGCUGGGGAUUUAGCUCAGUGGUGGCACCACCUGCCUCAAAAGCGCAAGGUCCUGAGUUCGAUCCCUGGUACCUUAAAAAAAGAACUCAUGCCUGACUCCUACCCCCACAUAUACUGAUCCAUACCCCACAUAUGGGGUAAAUUGGUUAUUUAGAGUUGCCAGAGCUCCCCAGGUGAUUCAGAGUGAAUCACCAGAGUGAUUCAGAGAUCCCUUGCCUGACUCCUACCCCCACAUAUACUGAUCCAUACCCCACAUAUGGGGUAAAUUGGUUAUUUACAGUUGCCAGAGCUCCCCAGGUGAUUCUAACGUACAGCGAAGUUUGGUAGGUACCACCCUAUAUAUUUACAUCUUAUUACAUAUAGGUCUUGUGUUAGUCAGCUUUGCCGUGCUGUGAUGAAAUACUUGAGAUAAUCAGUUUAAGAAGAGAAAGUGCUACCCAUGUUUAUAGCAGCACAGUUUACAAUAGGUAAAUAUUGGAAAUAGCCCAAAUGCCCAUCAACUGACAAAUGAACAAAGACGUGGUUUUUUUACACAACAGAUUACUAUUCUGCCACAAAGAAAGAUGAAUCUAAACCGGGUAUGGUGGCACACACCUGUAAUCCCAGCACUCAGGAGGCUGAGGCAGGAAGAUCGCUGUGAGUUUGAGACCAGCCUGGGCUACAUACUGAGUUCUAGGUCAGUGUCAACUACAUAGUGAGACCCUGUCUCAAAAAACCAAAGACCAAAAACAACAAUAACAAAAAAGAAAGAUGAGCUUCAGACAUUUAUAGCUACAUGGAUGGACCUUGAGACCAUACUCUUAAGUGAAAUAAACUGGACACACGUGUUUAAAUACUGCAUUGUUUCUCUGGUGUGAACCAAAAAUGAAAAUGAUGACUAAAACGUAUAAAAGACAUUGGGAAAUGAGAAGAAAAUGUUCAAAUGGGAAGAGGAACAAGGGAGAAGGAUGAGAGAAAGGAAAGAAGGGACAAGAAGAAAGAGAAAAUAGAAGGAAAACAUGGAAACAAAGCUUUUGUACAUAGGAAGAGGAAGGGCUGGAGGGGAGGGGAUAGGAAAAGAGAGGUAAGAUGGUUCAUGUACGGUACAAAUUCUCUAUGACGAGUGGCACCAUUAUGUAUGCCUAAAAUGCACCAAGAAAUGUUUUGCUAUUUUAAAAAUAAAUCCAUAGAAAAGCUUUUAAAGGAGAGAGAGAGAGAAGAGGUGUUUAUUUUGGCUCACAGUUUUGGAGGUUUUGUCCUUGGCUGGUUGGCUCCACUGUUUCUGGGCUUGGGGGGCGGCAGUACGUUGCAGUGGGAUUUUGCAUAGCACAGGAAGCUCCUUGCCUCACGGCCCCUGGGAAGCAAAAGGGGAGGAAGAGGAGGGACCUGGGUCUCCAAAUCCCUUCUGGAGCGUGCCCCCAGUGACCUCAUUUUCUUUCUCCAGGCCCCACCUCCUAAACGUUCCACUGCCUCCCAGUGUUGCCACAACCCAAGGACCAAGCUUUCAAUAUACUGGCUUUUAGAGGAC
rnacentral:lncRNA from 1 species